AUGAAUUGUGUGUGGGUUUUCCUCUUUCUGGUGGCGACUCUGGGAGGUGUCCUGGCCCAGGUGCAGCUACAAGAGUCAGGCCCCGGACUGGUGAAGCCCUCAGAGACCCUGUCUCUCACCUGUUCUGUCUCUGGAUUCUCUUUAACCAGCAAUGGUGUGCAGUGGGCCCGCCAGGCUCCAGGAAAGGGAAUGGAGUGGGUUGGUGGAAUAUGGAAUACUGGGAGCACAUACUAUAAUCCAGCUCUCCAGUCCCGAGUCAGCAUCACCAGGGACACCUCCAAGAGCCAAGUUUAUUUAAAACUGAGCUCUGUGAAUCCUGAGGACACAGCCGUGUAUUACUGUGCUAGAUACACAGUGAUGGGAAGUCACUGUGAGCCCAGACAAAAACCUUAG